GUCUACGGCCAUACCACCCUGAACGCGCCCGAUCCUCGUCUGAUCUCGGAAGCUAAGCAGGGUCGGCCUGGUUAGUACUUGGAUGGGAGACC
rnacentral:rRNA from 1 species